rnacentral:rRNA from 1 species
AUACGUAGGGUGCGAGCGUUGUCCGGAAUUACUGGGCGUAAAGAGCUCGUAGGUGGUUUGUCGCGUCGUCUGUGAAAUUCCGGGGCUUAACUCCGGGCGUGCAGGCGAUACGGGCAUAACUUGAGUACUGUAGGGGAGACUGGAAUUCCUGGUGUAGCGGUGAAAUGCGCAGAUAUCAGGAGGAACACCGGUGGCGAAGGGGGGUCUCUGGGCAGUAACUGACGCUGAGGAGCGAAAGCAUGGGUAGCGAACAGGAUUAGAUACCCUGGUAGUCCAUGCCGUAAACGGUGGGCGCUAGGUGUAGGGGUCUUCCACGACUUCUGUGCCGUAGCUAACGCAUUAAGCGCCCCGCCUGGGGAGUACGGCCGCAAGGCUAAAACUCAAAUGAAUGGACGGGG